AUUCCAUUAUGCUGACACUUCCUUAUUAUAUCCUUGAAUCUUUCCCAGGCCUCAAAAACUAUUUCGGUGUCCGUCUGGCAGAAGUUAUGAAUUUCCCUUCUGAAUUU
rnacentral:snoRNA from 1 species